GAAUUGCGAAAAGUAAUGUGAAUUGCAGAAUUCCGUGAAUCAUCGAAUCUUUGAACGCAUAUUGCACUCUCUGGUCCACCAGGGAGUAUGCCUGCUUGAGUAUCAUUAACACCACUCGCUCAGCCUCUGGGGUGUGUGCGGCGCAAGCAUGCACGCAUCCUCGGCAGGCCUUGUUGGAGCGGUCCUGAGCAUUCCGGGGCACGAUGCGCGUGUCGUCUUUUCAGGCAAGGCCGGCCGGUAGAGCAGUUGGCUCGACCGG
rnacentral:misc_RNA from 1 species